rnacentral:lncRNA from 1 species
GACGGACGACGAACGACGACGGACGACGGACGCAAAGUGAUGGGAAAAGCUCACUUGGCCCUUCGGGCCAGGUUGUUCAUUCAUAAAAUUAUCGUUCAUUCAUAAAUUUAUCGUAAAAUAAAAAUCACUACACAGGUUAUACGUGUAGUGUAAAUGACCACCUGUAAUCUAAAAAUAGCAGUCUCACUAAUAACGACAAGAAGAAUUUUUAGCGACAAGAAGCGUCAAGAACGGACAAGAAGAAUAAAUCAAGCGACAAGAAGACUAUUUAGCGACAUGAAAACUUCUCGUAUCGCAUGAGGAUGACACAUAUCAAAUGACCAAUUAUGUGUGGGACUUAGUUUUAAGAAAUGAUGUCAAAGUAAC